GGGCGCGUGGCGGAAUCGGCAGACGCGCAGGACUUAGAAUCCUGUGGGGACAUGGCCCCGUGAGGGUUCGAGUCCCUCCGCGCCCACCA
rnacentral:tRNA from 1 species